rnacentral:rRNA from 1 species
CAUACCUCUGGUGUACCAGUUGUUCUGCCAAGAGCACCGCUGGGUAGCUACGUAUGGAUUAGAUAAUCGCUGAAAGCAUCUAAGUGAGAAACUAACCUCGAGAUGAGAUUUCCCAUUCGUCAGAAGUAAGACCCCUGAGAGACGAUCAGGUAGAUAGGCUAGAAGUGGAAGUGUAGUGAUGCAUGGAGCGGACUAGUACUAAUAGGUCGAGGACUUAACCAAG